rnacentral:rRNA from 1 species
AGAGGAGCUGUCCUUAGUACGAGAGGACCGGGAUGGACGCACCGCUGGUGUACCAGUUGUUCUGCCAAGGGCAUCGCUGGGUAGCUAUGUGCGGACGGGAUAAGUGCUGAAAGCAUCUAAGCAUGAAGCCCCCCUCAAGAUGAGAUUUCCCAUUCCGCAAGGAAGUAAGAUCCCUGAAAGAUGAUCAGGUUGAUAGGUCUGAGGUGGAAGCGUGGUGACACGUGGAGCUGACAGAUACUAAUAGAUCGAGGACUUAACCUU